GACGAACGCUGGCGGCGUGCUUAACACAUGCAAGUCGAACGGAAAGGCCUCUAUCGGGGGGUACUCGAGUGGCGAACGGGUGAGUAACACGUGAGUAACCUGCCCUUGACUUUGGGAUAACUUCAGGAAACUGGGGCUAAUACCGGAUAGGAGCUCCUGCUGCAUGGUGGGGGUUGGAAAGUUUCGGCGGUUGGGGAUGGACUCGCGGCUUAUCAGCUUGUUGGUGGGGUAGUGGCUUACCAAGGCUUUGACGGGUAGCCGGCCUGAGAGGGUGACCGGCCACAUUGGGACUGAGAUACGGCCCAGACUCCUACGGGAGGCAGCAGUGGGGAAUAUUGCACAAUGGGUGGAAGCCUGAUGCAGCAACGCCGUGUGCGGGAUGACGGCCUUCGGGUUGUAAACCGCUUUCGCUCAUGACGAAGCUUUGUGUGACGGUAGUGGGUAAAGAAGCACCGGCUAACUACGUG
rnacentral:rRNA from 1 species